rnacentral:rRNA from 1 species
AAUCGUGACAAUAGCGAAGGGGUCACACCUGUUCCCAUACCGAACACAGAAGUUAAGCCCUUCAAAUAAGCCGAUGGUACUUGGCGGGCGACCGCCUGGGAGAGUAGGUCGUUGCGGUUU